rnacentral:sRNA from 1 species
AGUCUUCGGCCCUCUCCUGUCGCCGCCAUGAGCACUGGCAACUUCGUCGUGUCGCAGCCGCUCAAUUACCGCGGCGGGGCCCGCGUGGAGCCGGCGGACGCCUCCGGCACCGAGAAAGCUUUCGAGCCAGCAACCGGCCGAGUGAUAGCUACUUUCACAUGUUCAGGAGAAAAGGAAGUAAAUUUGGCUGUUCAAAAUGCAAAGGCUGCUUUUAAAAUAUGGAGUCAAAAAUCUGGCAUGGAGCGUUGCCGAAUCCUUUUGGAGGCUGCCAGGAUAAUAAGGGAACGGGAGGAUGAAAUUGCUACUAUGGAGUGCAUCAACAAUGGCAAGUCCAUCUUUGAGGCCCGCUUGGACAUCAACAUUUCCUGGCAGUGCCUGGAGUAUUAUGCGGGCUUGGCUGCAUCCAUGGCUGGUAAGUCCUCACCUGGUGUCUGUGACCAGCUGAUAAUGAGGCAGAAGAGCAGGGCCUAGUGGUGAAGGGCAAAGAUUUUGGAAUUAAGACAAACCUGGGUGAAAGUCUUGGGUUUGUCACUUUCUACCUGGGUGGCCUGGGAAUUACUUUAUCUUU